GUGUCUGAAGCCUCCACCAAUGUUGGUUUAAAAUCACCUCACUUCAGUGGCACAAAUACUAAAACUGGAAGACACAGAAGAGAGUAACAUGGUCCUUGCUCAAGUAUGACAUGGAAAUUUGUAAAAUGUCCAUAUAUUUU
rnacentral:snRNA from 1 species